rnacentral:lncRNA from 1 species
AUUAAUUGAUGAAUAAAUUAUGUAAUCGAAGCUUGAUGAGUCUGUUUUCAUGAGGAAGUAACGAAAAGAUCAUAUGGGCAGUAUAUUAAGAGAUAAUCAGAUUUUUGUGGGACAGGGCCAGAACGGUUUCUGGAUUCCCUGCUCCGACUUUGGAAAUUCAUUAUAAAUUAACCAGAGAUAAUUAGGGGUCGUACCAUAUAUGUAUAGAUUCCUCUCUGAGUCUAGUUUUCAUAGAAACAAACGGCAUCAGUAUUGAAGCCCCGUGCAGGGAGAUAUCCAAGUCGUAAUGGGAAAAGGUCAGUGUAGUCGACCCCUGC